rnacentral:lncRNA from 1 species
CUGUUUUGGGGGUGAAAUUAACAGGCAAGUUGGUGAGCUUUGGUGAAGCAAACAACCUUACAUGAUGUGAGUGGUCCUUGUGCCCAGUUGAAGCCGUGAGUAAAACAAAGUCUGACAUAGCCUUGAGCAAGAAAGAACUCUACCUCCAGACAACUUCGGGGGCAGAUGCACUGUGCACUGGAGAGGCAGAGCAUCCUGCCUUCCACAGCCGUGCACACCAGUCCCUGUGCACAAGUGGCCACCCACCCAGCGAAUCGACGUGGUGUGCUUAUCAAAAUCUGUGUGUCUGUGGGCCAGAGCCAAAUCCAGAGCCCCAUCCUGAAUGCCCAGCGGUGCCCACAGCCAGGAGGAGCAUUCGAUGUGUGAUGACUCAUCUCGUGCAUCAGACGCUCUCUAAAGUUCCCACAGAUUAUACCAUGGCUUAGUGAGUGCGAUUCUAAGACAGUUCCAAAAGACUUUUCAAUCCGUGGGAGUUUCAAAGUGGAUUCUCAGACAAACAUGGGGAGGACUGAGGCAGGCUUGGACACGCACAGAAUCAGACAACGAUGGUCCGGAGUUCAAAUCCCUGCAACCACAUGGUGGCUCACAACCAACUGUAAUGAGAUCUGGCGCCCUCUUCUGGAGUGUCUGAAGACAGAUACAGUGUACUUACAUAUAGUAAAUAAAUAAAUCUUAA